rnacentral:rRNA from 1 species
CUACGGGACGCAGCAGUGAGGAAUAUUGCACAAUGGGGGGAACCCUGAUGCAGCAACGCCGCGUGGAGGAUGACGCAUUUCGGUGUGUAAACUCCUUUUAUGUGUCAAGAAAAUGACGGUAGCAUAUGAAUAAGCACCGGCUAACUCCGUGCCAGCAGCCGCGGUAAUACGGAGGGUGCAAGCGUUACUCGGAAUCACUGGGCGUAAAGGACGCGUAGGCGGGUUGGAAAGUCAGGUGUGAAAUCCUACAGCUUAACUGUAGAACUGCACUUGAAACUUCUAAUCUAGAGUGUGGGAGGGGGAGAUGGAAUUAGUGGUGUAGGGGUAAAAUCCGUAGAUAUCACUAGGAAUACCUAAAGCGAAGGCGAUCUCCUGGAACAUUACUGACGCUAAGGCGUGAAAGCGUGGGGAGCAAACAGGAUUAGAUACCCCUGUAGUC